UGUGAAGUGGUACAAAGGGAAUGAACUCUUAGAUAAUGUACUUACAGCGACGUCAGUAAGACAAAAGUGAAUGUGUCAGCUACUCUGAUGAUCAGCCCCAGUAGAGAUGAUGAUGGAGCCAGUAUAGAUGUAGAGCAGAACUGGACCUGGGACCAGAGGGACCACAACCCCAUCCUACAGUGACAUCAGAACCUCUCAACAUUACUGUGCACUACAAGCCAGUGAUUGAUGUCCAAGCCAGUACAGUGCCGUGGAGGAGAAUUCCCCUGGACAGGAUCCCUUGUACAUUCAAUGGGAAUCCUCCCCCUAACGUUGUGUGUACCAGAGGGCGACAGCGGUCGAUGCCUCUGCACCCCUGGCCAGGACGGACUUUGGCCAGUAUGUCAUCAGAUCACCAAUGACAUAGGCAGCACCAGCUCUACUGUUCAUAUCACAGUGGAAUAUGCCCCCAAGUUUAACUGUACUGACAAUAUGAAGUUAAAGAGAAUGAAAAUCACAACUCUCAGUCACCUGUACAGUUGAUGGCAACCCUUCUUUCAAAAUCACCUGGUUGAAAGCCCAACAGGAAGUGGAUAUCCCUCAAAGUCUCACUAGGGAAAACAGAGGGAGUACACACUGGUUACAAACAACACACAUGGAAAAGCCACUCAACGCUUGUUAUCAACGUCUUGUAUGCUCCUGAGUUCCUUCCAGGGAAUGACCACAGUGGAGGUGAGUGCAGGCAGUGAUGUGUCUCUGGACUGCAGUGCUGAGGGAACCCUCCUCCUAAGCUGAGGUGGACCAACAACACUGCAGAGGGAAAUGCCAUUGAGACCACUGUGGGGCACCUGCGUACUCUCAAUAUCUCCAGAGUAACAAGCUGAUGCAACUACAACUGCACAGUCACAAAUAGACUGGGCUCCAUCACCAAGCAGAUACAUGUCCUAGUAGAUGUACCUCCACAACAACACCCAACGAUGUUCCCAC